CGGGGUGCACCAGGCGCAAAAACUUUGCAAUGCGGGAAACCGUGACAAGGGAACUCUGAGUGCCCGUAAAAUCGGGCUGUCCAUCGGUUUAAAUAACCGGUGAAGAAAGGGCCGGGCAAGACCGGUGCCAGCCGCCGCGGUAAUACCGGCGGCUCGAGUGGUGGCCACUAUUACUGGGCUUAAAGCGUUCGUAGCUGGUCUGUUAAGUCUCUGGGGAAAUCUUCCGGCUUAACCGGAAGGCGUCUCAGGGAUACUGGCAGACUAGGGACCGGGAGAGGUGAGAGGUACUCCAGGGGUAGGAGUGAAAUCCUGUAAUCCUUGGGGGACCACCUGUGGCGAAGGCGUCUCACCAGAACGGCUCCGACAGUGAGGGACGAAAGCUGGGGGAGCAAACCGGAUUAGAUACCCGGGUAGUCCCAGCUGUAAACGAUGCGCGUUAGGUGUAUCGGUGACCACGAGUCACCGAGGUGCCGAAGAGAAAUCGUGAAACGUGCCGCCUGGGAAGUACGGUCGCAAGGCUGAAACUUAAAGGAAUUGGCGGGGGAGCAC
rnacentral:rRNA from 1 species